AAGACUAUACUUUCAGGGAUCAUCUCUUUAGUAUGUGACUAGAGAAGUUUCUCUGAUCGUGUAGAGCACCUAAAGCCAUGAGGAGGAGCCAGAGGAUCCUCUCCUGAGCGUGAAGCCAGCUCGAGGUGUCGCUUCUGCGGCUGCCUCUUGCCAUUGAUGAUCGUUCUCCCUUUCCUCUGGAGAGGGAAUAGGGAGAGGAUGCAGUCUGAGUGAU